GACGAACGCUGGCGGCGUGCUUAACACAUGCAAGUCGAACGGAAAGGCCCUGCUUUUGUGGGGUGCUCGAGUGGCGAACGGGUGAGUAACACGUGAGUAACCUGCCCUUGACUUUGGGAUAACUUCAGGAAACUGGGGCUAAUACCGGAUAGGAGCUCCUGCUGCAUGGUGGGGGUUGGAAAGUUUCGGCGGUUGGGGCUGGUAUCGCGGCUUAUCAGCUUGUUGGUGGGGUAGUGGCUUACCAAGGCUUUGACGGGUAGGCGGCCUGGGAGGGUGACCGGGGACAAGGCGCCUGAGGUACGGAGCAGUCUCGUAUGGGAGGCAGUAGGGGGGAAUAUGGCACAGUGGGCGCGAGCGUGAUGCAGCAGCGCCGCGGGCGUGAAGACGGCCUUCGGGUUAUAAACCGCUUUCGCCUGAGACGAAGCGUGAGUGACGGUAAUGGGUAAAGAAGCACCGGCUAACUACGUG
rnacentral:rRNA from 1 species